GCUCGGUGUUUGGGUGUUGUCCGGGUACACCGCACCCCAAGUAGGACUGUCACAAGACCAUGAAAAGUUCCAGUGGACAUGUCCGUUCGUUUUCUCUUCCUUUAUCUCUCUUGUCUUAUUUCUUGGGGUGCUAGGCAUAAUCAAUGGCGGAUGCAGCCACUUUGAGUGGGAUACGUUGCCACACUUAAAAGUGUGUACCACCAUAUAUUAUAGGCAAAAAAUAUUUUUUUUAAAACAUAUUUGGCUACCAUUUUAAUAUUUUUGGAACCUAGUUUGCUUAAAAAUCUAAAAUAACCUUUGAAAGUUAAUGUAUAAUUAAUGUUAUUUUUUUUAUUAAUUAAUUUUUAUACAAAAUGGUUCCCUCUACAUCAUAGUUUUGGAUCCGCCACUCGACAUAAUACGCUAAGGUGUUGUUUGUUUUUUGUAAAAAACCUCUUGAGACUUCCUAUUGCUGCGUGGCGCAACAUACGCGUAACACUUUUAAUCUCGCAGUUGUUUGUUUUUUUUAGAAGUUUCCAGAGUAAAAAACCUCUGCGUGCGUUCUGUUUAGCGCAACACUUGUAUUGUCUCUUCCAGCCUUUUCUUCUUUUUUCUUGCUGAAAUUAGGCCUAUCAAAAAUACCUGAUACUCGAAUUACCCGCCAGAUUUUUUCGGGUAUUGGGUAAAUUUUUUCGGGUAAUCGGAUAACCCGAUUUUUUUCCAGGUUGGGUAAAGGGUACGUUUGUUGGGUUUCUGGUAUACCCGAAUUACCCAAAUUAUUAAUUUUUUUUUUCGUAGAGCUUUUACUUUGUAGCAAGUAUUUAAUCACGCUUUGAAUAACUAUCAUUAUUGUAAAACAUGAAUCUCUUUUAUUAUGAUAAUAUGACAUUAGCAAUAUUAAAAAUAAUUGUUUAUAUAUUAUCAUGUUCUUUAAAACUUCACUGUUUUCUAGAUUAUAGUUUUUAUUGCAAUUAACAAACUCAUUAUCUUGACGAAACUUCAGAACAUGAUAAAACUUAUAGCUACAAUUAUCUUAAACAUUUUGAACUUUUAAAUUAAGAUCUUUAAGUAUUUGUUUUUUUAAUAUCUUAUUUGAUUAGAUUAAGUUGUUAAAAAAUUACUUGAUAUCUCAGAUAUUAUUGACUAAAAAUCUCAAUGUUCAAAGCUUGAGUAACUUCGUUUAUGCCUCAUUUGUUUAUAUAAACAAGACUAAUAAAGCAUGACAUAUUUAUUUCAUUAAAUUUAUUUUUAGGUGAAAUUCAAAAAAAAACUUAUAUAUUUCGAGUAAUACCCGAAUUUCCCAAACCCGAAUUAUCCGAAUUUAAUUUGGAUCGGGUAACGCGUAUUUUUUUAACAUGAAAAACCCGAAUUACCCGAAACCCCAAAAAAAUUACCCGAAACCCCAAAAAAAUUACCCGAUCAACACUCCUAGCUAAAAUCUUGAUUAUAUGUUGCUGAAAUCUUAUUUUACCUUUUUUUUUAUUAUUAUUCUUGUUGAUUUUUUUUUUGAUUUUUUAUAUUGAAUAAUGAUAAUUUCUUGUUGAAAUAUCAUUAUUCUUUUGCUAAAAUAUCUAUUUUUUUUUGCUGGAAUAUCAUUAUUUUUUACUGAAAUAUCAUAAAUUCUUGCUAAAAUGUCAUAUAUUAUUAAUUUUUCGGUAUUAAAAACUAUUUCGGUUUAUAAAAUCAGUUUAUUUUAAAUUUUUAAUUUUGCAGUAGCAUCCGAAUGUUAAAAAAACAAACACGCUUCUUAUUAUAGUCUGCAACCGUUUAGUCCACCUCUUAUACUGCAGAGGUGGUCCGCAGACUUCAUAAAUUUUUGCUUCAAAAAAACAAACAAUACCUAAGCUGUAUGAAUGAUGUGAGGUAGUAAGGUGUAAGGAUAGUAAGCUAGAUACCCUUAAGUAAAUUUAACGUUACAUUAUCAUGGCCGACUUAGCCCAAGUACAAUAUGUGCAUAGGAACAGGGCCCAAACUUUUGAGGGGCCCAAAAGUAUUUUUUAGUAUAUACAAUUUGAAGCCGGCAGCCCAAUAAUUUGGGAGAAAGGAAAGGAACGAAACGAAGACAUGAAACAGAAGCCGACAACCUAAUUUAGUCGAUCAGUUUUGUUUGUUCAAAAAAAAAACGAUCAACAAAAGUAGACGUCUAGACAACAACUCAAUCAACGGCUCAACGAUUCAGCAAGGGCAGACGUCUAGACGAUCAGUGAUGAAGUCUAAACAACCAUCUGGUUAUCAAAAACAUAAAAAGAGAAAACUAGAUGAAGAAAAAAGAAAGGUUGACACCGGUGCUCUAGAUAAGUUUAUCCAUAGACAACCUGUUGAAGAGCACAUUGAAGAGCAUGUUGAAGAGCACAUUGAAGAUCAAGAGCAUGUAGAAGUAGAAGAGACAGAAAAACAUGAGCCUGUUAAAGAGCUUGUUGAUAUAUAUGAUCCAAGAAGGUGGGAAAAACUUAAUUCUGAUAUGAUUGAAAUUUUGGUUGAGAAAGGUCCUAAAAGAGAUAAUAGUAUUAUAUAUGGUCCCUAUGAUAAAUUUGGUAGACGAUUUUCUACAGCUUUAUAUACAAGAACUUUAUCAAAUUUGGAGAAGUGUGAUAGAGAAUGGUUAGUAUAUUCGGAAGAUCUAAAUAGGGUAUUUUGUUUUUGUUGUAAAGUGUUUAGAAAAGGGAUUUCGAAAGGUAAAUUGGAUGGUGAAGGUUAUGCAAAUUGGCACCAUGUUACCACUAGGGUUAAAGAACACGAAAUUUCAUUGGAUCAUCUUACAAAUAGGAAUAAGUGGUUUGACAUGCGUAAAAGAUUGAACUUGAACGAAACAAUUGAUAAAGUUCAACAUGAGCAGUUCAAGAAAGAAAGAGAUUAAUGUAAAACAAGUGCUUUUAAGAAUUAUUGCAGCAGUGAAGUUUCUUGCUAAACAUAAUUUAGCAUUUCGUGGAUCCAAUGAAAAGUUGUAUAAAAAGGUAAUGGAAAUUUUUUGGGUGUCAUUGAAAUGUUGGAAGAGUUUGACCCGGUUAUCAAAGAGCAUGUGUGACACAUCACAAGUGAAAGGCUUUAUGUGCAUUAUCUUGGCCACCUAAUCCAAAAUGAACUAAUAUCUUUCAGGGCCGGUCCCGAGGAUUCAAAUGCCCAGGACGAACCGGGAAAAAAGGCCCUUAGGCCAUACGUGUAACGAAUUAAAUGAUAUAAACUAAAGUUACAGACUUAUAAAUCCAUUCAACAUACAGUUACAGAAUUCCAAAAAUGUUAUCCAAGUUGGUAGGUCCAUACAUACCAUACAUCUACCAUAAAAGAAAAGCAUGGUUUGAAAAUUGGCAACUAAACUGGCAGUAUACAUAGAAGAAAUAACAAAUUUGCUCAAAUAACAUGGCAAUGACUGGUUGUCAUUCUUUAAUCAAAUUCAAGGCACAAUAUGUUUUUUUAUUAGAGUAGUCAUAAUCCCA